GCGGUAAAGGUAUCGCACCGUAGUCAGAGGCCACCGGAGUUGGGUUACAUUUUGUUAGUAGUUUACCCCUUUUAUCAUCUUUGUAUUUGAUGAUCUAAGAUGUUGAUGUGUUAAGCAAAGUAAAGAAAAGAAUGUAAUGUUCAUUUUGCGGUAAAUGUGAUGUAAAAGAAAUGAUGAAAGAAUGUAAAGAUUUUGGAUGUACAAGUUGGAUAGAUACAACGUACGUGAUCAAAAUGAAUCAUAGUA
rnacentral:lncRNA from 1 species